AGUAAUUCUCCACAAUGUCUUUGGAGAAGCAUUGCUGUUUGCAUACAGGACAGCAAGCGCGGCUCCCUCUCGGGGCGCAGGCGCUCCCGGCACACACCGCAGUGCUCCAGCAGCUCCAGCGCCUCGCCGCCGCCCCCCGCGGGCGACGACGCCGAGGCCGAAGCCGAGGCCGAGGCCGCGGCCGACGAGGCGGCGGCGCGCUUUUCGCCGCCAGCCGAGCCCUCGCCCGGGCCCGGGCUGCCCGAGGCGGCUGCCGCCGCCGCCGCGGAGGCCGCCGCCGCCGAGGCCGCCAUUCACACGCCGCCGGGGGCGCCCAGGGGGGAGGAGGGGCGCGGGGCCCGCCGCGCAGGCGCAGACGCACUCGCCGCCAACGGCUGGGCCGCUGCCGCCGCGAGGCCGAGCGCCGCCACGCGCCUCCUGGGCUACUGCCCGCUGCGCGCGGGGCGCUGUCGAAGCCCGGCCGGCAGCCGCCCGCUAGCCUCCCGCCGACGACGACCGCGAUCCCUCUUUAGAGGCCGCCCAGACACCGCGCCACACGCCACGCGAACAACCGCUCACCCGCGCGCCCGCUCGCAGAAAGAGCCGCGGCCGGGGGGCGGGACAGAAAUAACUGGCGCCGACGCCGCCGCGCAAGCGCGCUGGGCGUCUUGCGCCCGGGGGCGGGGCCCGGGCUGGCCGCCCCGAGCAGGGAUGCGAAUACGCAAGCGCCGGAGCCGGGUCUUCCCACCUCCGCCUCCACCACCUCGGCGCCGCCUGUGCGGCAGGGGCGGAACUAUUGAUAUCACCGCCGCAACAUUGUGCCCGGGCGGGGCGCGCGCACCUUUGCAUGCGCUUGCUCCCCCUCUAGUCCCAGCCCCUGACCGCGGUUCUGCGCAGGCGAUUUGGCAGUCCAGGCCGCCACCUCAAUCCCCGCCCCUUAGGCCAAGGCCAAAGAAGUCUCCAGUCUUGGCGUCUGCCAGUGCUGGGGAGAAAGGCUGCGUUCAGAGAGAGAGGCCGAGAGUCCCCUUCCCACUUCUAAGCCAAGUGGUUGACUUUUGGGUUUUAAUCGCUUUAUUGUUUAGCUUGCAAGCACUAAAACCUGCCUAA
rnacentral:lncRNA from 12 species